rnacentral:misc_RNA from 1 species
AACACCACUCAAGCCCCCGGGCUUGGCGUUGGGGAUCGGCAGCCGGCGCGGCGCCCCUCCGGGGGCACCGCCCGCCGUCCCCCAAAUACAUCGGCGGCCGUCCGCGGGCUCCCAAUGCGUAGUAGCAACACCUCGCACCGGAAGCCCCGAGCGUCCACGCCGUAAAACCCCCGACCUUUACC